AUCCUGCAGCAGCUGCGGAGCCGCGGGGACAACGUGUAUGUGGUGACCGAGGUGUUGCAGACACAGAAGGACGUGGAAGUCACGCGGACCCACAAGCGGGAGGGCUCGGGCCAGUUUUCCCUGCUCGGAACCAUGUGCUUGCAGGUGUGUAGCCAGCCUCGGGCCACGCCUGGCCCCACAUGGGCACGCAGCGGCGGGUGGUGGAGGCAGCGGGGCUGGGCUCCACCAAGGCCCCUCGGAGCAGCUCCAGCCCUGCGCUUGGCUACGGAGCCAAAGUCACCUGUCGGCGGGCCUGCCCCCAGCACCCAGCCCACACCCGCACCCAGCCCACACCCGCACCCAGCCCACACCUGCACCCCGCAGUCCGGUGCCCAGGGCCCGGCCCUGAGCCCAUCUCCAUGCCUCAGGGUGAGGGCCAGGGCCACCUGAGCCAGAAGAAGACGGUCACCAUCCCCUCGGGCAGCAUCCUCGCAUUCCGGGUGGCCCAGCUGGUUAUUAACUCUGACUUGGGUGAGCUGGAGUUGGGGGUGUCUCGGGCCCAGGCCCUGGCAGAGAAGCAGGGAGGCCUGGGGAGAGCUACCCACCAGCUUGGGCUGCCGUGGGCCCCUGGCUGAACAACGUCCUGUGUCUGGCAGGUGGCUGAGGUCCUGUGCUCUGGUGUGUGGGUGAUUGGGCAGGGCCUGAGCUGGAUAGGGGAGCUCCUAGUAGGGGAGGGGAUGCUGGGAUCUAGGUGACAUGCCUGUCCCUGUCUGCUCCCACCUGGCUGCCAGACGUCCUUCUCUUCCCGGAUAAGAAGCAGAGGACCUUCCAGCCACCCCCGACUGGCCACAAGCGUUCCACGAGCGAAGGCGCCUGGCCACAGCCGCCCUCUGGCAUCUCCAUGAUGGGGUGCCUCCACAACUUCCUGACAGAUGGGGUCCUUGUGGAGGGUGCGUUCACUGAAGACUUCCAGGGCCUGUGGGCAGAGGUGGAGACCAUCUCCAAGGAACUGGAGCUCUUGGACAGAGAGCUGUGCCAGCUGCUGCUGAGGGGCCUGGAGGGGGUGCUGCGGGACCAGCUGGCCCUGCGAGCCUUGGAGGAGGCGGUGAGUGGGGGAGGGUGCCCGGGGCACACAAGGCCGGCCCAGCCAGCCAGGCUCAUCUGCCCUUCCCGUGCCCACAGCUGGAGCAGGGCCAGAGCCUUGGGCCGGUGGAGCCCCUGGACGGUCCAGCAGGUGCUGUCCUGGAGUGCCUGGUGUUCCCCUCCAGAAUGCUGGUGCCGGAACUCGCCAUCCCUGUUGUCUACCUGCUGGGGGCACUGACCAUGCUGAGUGAAACGCAGCACAAGCUGCUGGCGGAGGCGCUGGAGUCGCGGUCCCUGUUGGGGCCGCUCGAGCUGGUGGGCAGCCUCUUGGAGCAGAGUGCCCCGUGGCAGGAGCACAGCACCAUGUCCCUGCCCCCCGGGCUCCUGGGGAGCAGCUGGGGCGAAGGGGCACCGGCCUGGGUCUUGCUGGACGAGUGUGGCCUGGAGCUGGGGGAGGACACUCCCCACGUGUGCUGGGAGCCGCAGGCCCAGGGCCGCAUGUGUGCACUCUACGCCUCCCUGGCACUGCUAUCAGGACUGAGCCAGGAGCCCCACUAGCCUGUGCCCGGGCAUGGCCUGGCAGCUCUCCAGCAGGGCAGAGUGUUUGCCCACCAGCUGCUAGCCCGAGGAAGGCCAGGAGCCCAGUAGCCAUGUGGCCUGUCUACCAUGGGGCCCAGGAGUUGGGG
rnacentral:sRNA from 1 species